GAGGGGAGCCGGCUUCUGGGCGCUUGGUCUCGGGCAUCGAAACAGGUGUCUAGGUGGUUUCCAUCUAACUGAAAUGUCUGAGUACACAUAAAGUUUUAACCUUCUUGGGAGAAAUCGUGACUACGGCAUGGUGUGGUAGCAAUAACAGGUCACCGUUUUGUUCAGGCUCUUGUGCUGCCAGUGACAGAAGACCUAAUUCGAGGUAGCUUAUAUAGUAAUACUGCCAUGUGAGCGCCGGCUAGGUGCCAGGCUCUGGUGUAAGUGCUGUACGUGGACCUUGGGAUGGAGAAAGAAAAAUAAAACCGAAACAAAAAGGAGAUGCGACUGAUGAAAGGCCAGGCACAGCCAGACAAAGGUUGAAGCAGUGUCACUUGGACCUAGAGUCCCUCCCUUCCUGUCUGGUUCUUGCUCCUUCCUGAGGACGCACUGGGGAAGCCCUCCAUGGGUUGACUCCAGAGGGAGAAAAGGCAGAAGCCUCUGAUUCACCCUGGAUGGCGUUAUGGAGUUUUGUGUGUAAUGAGGGAAUGGCAUUUGUGGACUGGCUUAAUCUGGAGAUGUGGGUUGUUAUGGAUGAUAUGUUUGUGUCCCCCCCAGAAUUCAUACCUUGAAACCCUAAUCGCCAGUGGGAUGGUGUUUGGAGACAGGGCCUUUGGGAGGUAAUUAGGUCAUGAGGGUGGAGCCCUGAUGAAGAGACUAGUGCCUUCAUAAGAAGAGACACAAAAGACCUCACGCCUCUUCCCCUUGUGAGGAUACAGUAAGAGGGUUGCUGUCUUCAAGCCAGGAAUCAGGCUGUCCCCAGACGCCAUCUCUCCUGGUGCCUUGAUCUUGGACUUUCAGCUUCCAGAAUUUUAUGGUCACGCCUCUUUCCCCCCAAGUAAUAAAGCUCAUCUAUUAAAGGAAGGUUUAGGAAUGCAAAUUUCGGGGUUGUUUGACAAGCUACUUCACUGCCUGGUGUGGUUCUUUGGGCAUCAUGAGGCAAACAGCCGGGCUGUGAAUAGCCUCCGGGGACCGGGGGCAGCCUCUGGAUCCCAGGGCAGCCAACAGCCAGCAAGAAGCCAGGACCCUCAGUCAUCAGCUGUGAGGAAAUGAAUCCUGUAAACACCUUGCAUGGGCCUGGCAGCGGAUUCUCCUCACUGAGACCUCCAGAGGCCCGGCCCUGCCCAGCUCCUCCCGGCCUUCCUGUCGCACGAUGGCCCUGCCCCCGUGGCCUUCUCCAUCACUCAUUCAUGUCGGCCCCUGCCCAUCUUCUGCUGGAGCGUAAGGGGACUCUUCCUGGCCCCCGUCCUCAGGCUCCCGCCCACCGCCCAGGGGCAUCUCACUGACGCCAGCCAUGUCCACCGUGCAGGCAGCAGGCACUGGGAAGACAGAGAUAAGAUACAGAGGAGGGUUCAGUGGACCCAGCUCAGUGGGGAUGUGGCCUCUUUCCUCCAAGUUGGGGGUGAUACCUGAGUAUCACAGCCUUGAUACGAAGUAUGAGUCCCCACAGCGUCCAACGCACAGCAGGAGCCGGACACACGUUGGUUUCUCCCUCGAAGUUCCAUUUAGAAUUGGCGAUUCUGUCAUUCUGGAAGGUGAUGGGGUAAAACUGCCCCCACAGAAGAGAGGUUGUUGUAUUUCUGAAAGGAUGGUGGACAUCUUCGUGUAAGAAAGCCCGGCUCCCAGAGGUGAAGUGACUUGUCCAAGUCACACAGGGAGUUUGUAGAACCGUCAGGAUGGGGACCGCAUGCCUCCUCAGCAUCCAAAUGUGGCUGAAGUUUUCUUGGACUCCGCCUGCCCUCAGUCAAGAAGUCCUGGAGGAGCACCCUGUUCUUUUACUCUGAAUGUGGCAGACGUAAAAGGUGUUCAGUUCAUUUUGCGCGUGGUUGCCAUAAAUGUGUGGACUUUUGUGUUUUAGCUCAUCGUUAGUCCAGAUACAUCACUGACAUCUAUUGAUACUGCAGUGCUUUUCAGAGGUUUUGAGUACAGCUGCUUGGUAACUUAUUUAGAUAGAAACUUUCUAUUCAGAACUCACUCUCUGUUCUUGCGAGAAUUGCUAGAAAAUGUUGACUUAAAGAGAUGCUUCUGUGUUUCAUUGCACAAGUAAGUGUGUUCUACCGGGCAGGAUUAUGCAGUGAGGACCACCUCUUAGAGACUGAAGGGCGUAGUAUGGAUUUAAAUAUAGUAAUACAUCCAGGCAGACCUCGGGGGUAUUUUGGGUUUGGUUCCAGACCACCGCAAUAAAGCGGGUCACACAAUUUUUUCUUUUCCCAGUGCAUAGAAAAGUUAUGUUUACAACACACUGUAGUCUGUUAAGUGUGCAAUAGCAUUAGAUCUAAAAAAACAAUGUGCAUACCUUAAUUAAAAAAUAAUUUAUUGAUAAAAAA